GGGGGCGUACGGUUUCGACGGGGUCGUGGUUUGCGUGAUGGCGAGUCGAGCCCCGGGCUCGUAAAACCGGGAAAAACAUAAGUGCGAACACUGCACAGCCCCUUGCGCUCGCUGCGUAAGUAAGGCAAACGAUCAGGCUACGGCCUGACGUCGACCGGUCGUUCGACUGUGGUGACCGGACCCGACGCUAAUACCAGCAGUCUCGGCCUCCGGUGGCGUCGCGGCGCCGGAGGCGACGUACACCGCGGCUGGCUGGUGCGAAGCCUGUCCCAGGGCGUUGCAUCGGUGAGAUGAAAGCGGGGACUACACUCGUAGAGGUUGCGCUUGACACGGCUUCGGACCCGGGUUCGAUUCCCGGCGCCUCCACCA
rnacentral:tmRNA from 1 species